UUAAGUGACUAAGCGUACACGGUGGAUGCCUGGGCAGUCAGAGGCGAUGAAGGACGUACUAACUUGCGAUAAGCGCAGAUAAGGCAGUAAGAGCCGUUUGAGUCUGCGAUUUCCGAAUGGGGAAACCCAACUGCAUAAGCAGUUACUGUUAACUGAAUACAUAGGUUAACAGAGCAAACCGGGGGAACUGAAACAUCUAAGUACCCCGAGGAGAAGAAAUCAACCGAGAUUCCGGUAGUAGCGGCGAGCGAACCUGGAUUAGCCCUUAAGCACUCGGUGAAGUAGGUGAACAAGCUGGAAAGCUUGGCGAUACAGGGUGAUAGCCCCGUAACCGACGCUUCAUCGAGCGUGAAAUCGAGUAGGGCGGGACACGUGAUAUCCUGUCUGAAUAUGGGGGGACCAUCCUCCAAGGCUAAAUACUCCUGACUGACCGAUAGUGAACCAGUACCGUGAGGGAAAGGCGAAAAGAACCCCUGUGAGGGGAGUGAAAUAGAACCUGAAACCGUGUACGUACAAGCAGUAGGAGCACCUUCGUGGUGUGACUGCGUACCUUUUGUAUAAUGGGUCAGCGACUUAUAUUCAGUGGCAAGGUUAACCGUAUAGGGGAGCCGUAGCGAAAGCGAGUCUUAACUGGGCGCUCAGUCUCUGGAUAUAGACCCGAAACCGGGUGAUCUAGCCAUGGGCAGGUUGAAGGUUGAGUAACAUCAACUGGAGGACCGAACCGACUAAUGUUGAAAAAUUAGCGGAUGACUUGUGGCUAGGGGUGAAAGGCCAAUCAAACUCGGAGAUAGCUGGUUCUCCCCGAAAGCUAUUUAGGUAGCGCCUCGGACGAAUACUACUGGGGGUAGAGCACUGUUAAGGCUAGGGGGUCAUCCCGACUUACCAACCCUUUGCAAACUCCGAAUACCAGUAAGUACUAUCCGGGAGACACACGGCGGGUGCUAACGUCCGUCGUGGAGAGGGAAACAACCCAGACCGCCAGCUAAGGUCCCAAAGUAUUGCUAAGUGGGAAACGAUGUGGGAAGGCUCAGACAGCUAGGAUGUUGGCUUAGAAGCAGCCAUCAUUUAAAGAAAGCGUAAUAGCUCACUAGUCGAGUCGGCCUGCGCGGAAGAUGUAACGGGGCUAAGCAAUACACCGAAGCUGCGGCAAUGAAGUUUACUUCAUUGGGUAGGGGAGCGUUCUGUAAGCCGUUGAAGGUGGCUCGUAAGGGCUGCUGGAGGUAUCAGAAGUGCGAAUGCUGACAUGAGUAACGACAAAGGGGGUGAAAAACCUCCUCGCCGGAAGACCAAGGGUUCCUGUCCAACGUUAAUCGGGGCAGGGUGAGUCGACCCCUAAGGUGAGGCCGAAAGGCGUAAUCGAUGGGAAACGGGUUAAUAUUCCCGUACUUCUGACUAUUGCGAUGGGGGGACGGAGAAGGCUAGGUGGGCCAGGCGACGGUUGUCCUGGUUCAAGUGCGUAGGCUUGAGAGUUAGGUAAAUCCGGCUCUCUCUAAGGCUGAGACACGACGUCGAGCUGCUACGGCAGUGAAGUCAUUGAUGCCAUGCUUCCAGGAAAAGCCUCUAAGCUUCAGAUAGUCAGGAAUCGUACCCCAAACCGACACAGGUGGUCGGGUAGAGAAUACCAAGGCGCUUGAGAGAACUCGGGUGAAGGAACUAGGCAAAAUGGUACCGUAACUUCGGGAGAAGGUACGCUCUUGAUGGUGAAGUCCCUCGCGGAUGGAGCUGACGAGAGUCGCAGAUACCAGGUGGCUGCAACUGUUUAUUAAAAACACAGCACUGUGCAAAAUCGCAAGAUGACGUAUACGGUGUGACGCCUGCCCGGUGCCGGAAGGUUAAUUGAUGGGGUUAGCGCAAGCGAAGCUCUUGAUCGAAGCCCCGGUAAACGGCGGCCGUAACUAUAACGGUCCUAAGGUAGCGAAAUUCCUUGUCGGGUAAGUUCCGACCUGCACGAAUGGCGUAAUGAUGGCCACGCUGUCUCCACCCGAGACUCAGUGAAAUUGAAAUCGCUGUGAAGAUGCAGUGUACCCGCGGCUAGACGGAAAGACCCCGUGAACCUUUACUACAGCUUGGCACUGAACAUUGAACCUACAUGUGUAGGAUAGGUGGGAGGCUAUGAAGACGUGACGCCAGUUGCGUUGGAGCCGUCCUUGAAAUACCACCCUUGUAUGUUUGAUGUUCUAACUUAGACCCAUUAUCUGGGUUGAGGACAGUGCCUGGUGGGUAGUUUGACUGGGGCGGUCUCCUCCCAAAGAGUAACGGAGGAGCACGAAGGUGGGCUAAUCACGGUUGGACAUCGUGAGGUUAGUGCAAUGGCAUAAGCCCGCUUAACUGCGAGAAUGACGGUUCGAGCAGGUGCGAAAGCAGGUCAUAGUGAUCCGGUGGUUCUGUAUGGAAGGGCCAUCGCUCAACGGAUAAAAGGUACUCCGGGGAUAACAGGCUGAUACCGCCCAAGAGUUCAUAUCGACGGCGGUGUUUGGCACCUCGAUGUCGGCUCAUCACAUCCUGGGGCUGAAGUCGGUCCCAAGGGUAUGGCUGUUCGCCAUUUAAAGUGGUACGCGAGCUGGGUUUAGAACGUCGUGAGACAGUUCGGUCCCUAUCUGCCGUGGGCGUUGGAAGAUUGAAGGGGGCUGCUCCUAGUACGAGAGGACCGGAGUGGACGAACCUCUGGUGUUCGGGUUGUGUCGCCAGACGCAUUGCCCGGUAGCUAAGUUCGGAAUUGAUAAGCGCUGAAAGCAUCUAAGCGCGAAGCGAGCCCUGAGAUGAGUCUUCCC
rnacentral:rRNA from 1 species